AACAUUUUGCCAACUGUUCAUUGGUGUGAUAAUUAUCUACGCUAUUGACGUGAAGCAAGGUUCAGCUACUAACAGUCCAUUGACUUGGACAAGCCUAUCUUUAUUAAUGUGACCUCAAAUCAGGUAGGACUACCCGCUGAACUUAAGCAUAUCAAUAAGCGGAGGAAAAGAAACUAACAAGGAUUCCCCUAGUAACUGCGAGUGAAGCGGGAAAAGCUCAAAUUUAAAAUCUGGCAGUCUUUGGCUGUCUGAGUUGUAAUCUAGAGAAGCAUUAUCCGCGCUGGACCGUGUACAAGUCUCCUGGAAUGGAGCGUCAUAGAGGGUGAGAAUCCCGUCUUUGACACGGACUGCCAGGGCUUUGUGAUGUGCUCUCAAAGAGUCGAGUUGUUUGGGAAUGCAGCUCAAAAUGGGUGGUAAAUUCCAUCUAAAGCUAAAUAUUGGCGAGAGACCGAUAGCGAACAAGUACCGUGAGGGAAAGAUGAAAAGAACUUUGGAAAGAGAGUUAAACAGUACGUGAAAUUGCUGAAAGGGAAACGCUUGAAGUCAGUCGCGUUGUCCAGGGAUCAAUCUUGCUUUUGCUUGGUGUACUUUCUGGUUAACGGGUCAGCAUCAAUUUUGACUAUUGGAAAAAGAUCAAGGGAAUGUGGCAUCUUUGGAUGUGUUAUAGCCCUUGGUUGCAUACAAUGGUUGGGAUUGAGGAACUCAGCACGCCGCAAGGCCGAGUUUUUUUAACUACGUACGUGCUUAGGAUGCUGGCAUAAUGGCUUUAAUCGACCCGUCUUGAAACACGGACCAAGGAGUCUAACAUGCCUGCGAGUGUUUGGGUGGAAAACCCGAGCGCGCAAUGAAAGUGAAAGUUGAGAUCCCUGUCGUGGGGAGCAUCGACGCCCGGACUUGACCUUUUGUGACGGUUCCGCGGUAGAGCAUGUAUGUUGGGACCCGAAAGAUGGUGAACUAUGCCUGAAUAGGGUGAAGCCAGAGGAAACUCUGGUGGAGGCUCGUAGCGAUUCUGACGUGCAAAUCGAUCGUCAAAUUUGGGUAUAGGGGCGAAAGACUAAUCGAACCAUCUA
rnacentral:rRNA from 1 species